UACGGGGGGGGCAAGCGUUGUUCGGAAUUACUGGGCGUAAAGGGCUCGUAGGUGGCCAACUAAGUCAGACGUGAAAUCCCUCAGCUUAACUGGGGAACUGCGUCUGAUACUGGAUGGCUUGAGUUCGGGAGAGGGAUGCGGAAUUCCAGGUGUAGCGGUGAAAUGCGUAGAUAUCUGGAGGAACACCGGUGGCGAAGGCGGUCUGCUGGGCCGUUGCUGACGCUGAGGCGCGACAGCGUGGGGAGCAAACAGG
rnacentral:rRNA from 1 species